AGCGAACGCUGGCGGCAGGCCUAACACAUGCAAGUCGAACGAAGUCUUCGGACUUAGUGGCGGACGGGUGAGUAACACGUGGGAACGUGCCUUUAGGUUCGGAAUAACUCAGGGAAACUUGUGCUAAUACCGAAUGUGCCCUUCGGGGGAAAGAUUUAUCGCCUUUAGAGCGGCCCGCGUCUGGUUAGCUAGUUGGUGAGGUAAAGGCUCACCAAGGCUACGAUCAGUAGCUGGUCUGAGAGGAUGACCAGCCACAUUGGGACUGAGACACGGCCCAAACUCCUACGGGAGGCAGCAGUGGGGAACCUUGCGCAAUGGGCGAAAGCCUGACGCAGCCAUGCCGCGUGGAUGAUGAAGGACUUAGGAUUGUAAAAUCCUUUCACCGGUGAAGAUAAUGACUGUAGCCGGAGAAGAAGCCCCGGCUAACUUCGUGCCAGCCGCCGCGGUAACAC
rnacentral:rRNA from 1 species